rnacentral:rRNA from 1 species
UACGUAGGGUGCGAGCGUUAAUCGGAAUUACUGGGCGUAAAGCGCACGUAGGUGGCGCCGUAAGUCGGGUGUGAAAGCCCCGGGCUCAACCUGGGAAUUGCAUUCGAGACUGCAUUGCUGGAGUACGGAAGAGGAGGGCGGAAUUCCCGGUGUAGCGGUGAAAUGCGUAGAUAUCGGGAGGAACAUCAGUGGCGAAGGCGGCCCUCUGGUCCAGUACUGACACUCAAGUGCGAAAGCGUGGGGAGCAAACAGG